AGAGUUUGAUCCUGGCUCAGAUUGAACGCUGGCGGCAUGCCUUACACAUGCAAGUCGAACGGCAGCACGGGAGCAAUCCUGGUGGCGAGUGGCGAACGGGUGAGUAAUAUAUCGGAACGUGCCCAGUCGUGGGGGAUAACGUAGCGAAAGCUACGCUAAUACCGCAUACGAUCUAUGGAUGAAAGCGGGGGAUCGCAAGACCUCGCGCGAUUGGAGCGGCCGAUAUCAGAUUAGCUAGUUGGUGGGGUAAAGGCCCACCAAGGCGACGAUCUGUAGCUGGUCUGAGAGGACGACCAGCCACACUGGAACUGAGACACGGUCCAGACUCCUACGGGAGGCAGCAGUGGGGAAUUUUGGACAAUGGGCGCAAGCCUGAUCCAGCAAUGCCGCGUGCAGGACGAAGGCCUUCGGGUU
rnacentral:rRNA from 1 species